rnacentral:lncRNA from 1 species
AACUUCCGUGAUGUGAAAUGCAGCUGGAGAGCUGGAAGGAAGCCGAGGGACCUGCCAGGUAACCAAGAACGGGUCCCCAGGUCACUGCGCCUCACUUCAGGGAGGCUGCCUGGAGGCUCACUUCCAGCUGACUGGCCUUAGACAUCAUCAUAAGAGCCUUGCUUAUUUAGUUUCUCAGGGUAGGACAGAAUAAGAGCUUCAAAACGUGACAAGAACUCCUUACAGAAAGAAAGCCAAAAAACCAGCUAACUGAACAACUAAACGACGAAGGUGGAAAGCCCAACACACUGCAGAGGUCAGAAACGAGAACAAGGUAGCACUCGUCACACACCUAGAGCAUCUGGGCUCCAGCCGUCAGCAGCAGGGGGCCCGCCGUGGGCUAUCAGGAGCCGACGCUUUGGGACUCCAUCUGGGUUUGAGUCCUUACUGCCUUCUAGCUGGGAAAAUCACCUGUUUUUCGAGAUCCGGCCCAAAUAUCACAUCUCCUCAGACAUUUUCCCUGACUCCCAUGGCAGAGUAGCGGUUCCUCCCGUGUGUGCUCAGAACACAGCACAUAGCAGCUGCCCAAACGGGCACACCUCACUCUGGAUUGGCUCCUCAUCCCACUUCCAAACUCCCAGCCUGUUGUGACCGUAGACUUGCCAAGCACGAUAAUACUGCCGG